rnacentral:rRNA from 1 species
GGUAGCCGGCCUGAGAGGGUGUCCGGCCACACUGGGACUGAGAUACGGCCCAGACUCCUACGGGAGGCAGCAGUGGGGAAUAUUGCACAAUGGGCGCAAGCCUGAUGCAGCGACGCCGCGUGGGGGAUGACGGCCUUCGGGUUGUAAACCUCUUUCAAUAGGGACGAAGCGCAAGUGACGGUACCUAUAGAAGAAGCACCGGCCAACUACGUGCCAGCAGCCGCGGUAAUACGUAGGGUGCGAGCGUUGUCCGGAAUUACUGGGCGUAAAGAGCUCGUAGGUGGUUUGUCGCGUUGUCCGUGAAAUUUCACAACUCAAUUGUGAGCGUGCGGGCGAUACGGGCAGACUGGAGUACUGCAGGGGAGA